rnacentral:rRNA from 1 species
UACGAAGGGGGCUAGCGUUGUUCGGAAUUACUGGGCGUAAAGCGCACGUAGGCGGCCGAUUAAGUCGGGGGUGAAAGCCUGUGGCUCAACCACAGAAUUGCCUUCGAUACUGGUUGGCUUGAGACCGGAAGAGGACAGCGGAACUGCGAGUGUAGAGGUGAAAUUCGUAGAUAUUCGCAAGAACACCAGUGGCGAAGGCGGCUGUCUGGUCCGGUUCUGACGCUGAGGCGCGAAAGCGUGGGAGCAACAGG